AGAGUUUGAUCCUGGCUCAGAUUGAACGCUGGCGGUAUGCUUAACACAUGCAAGUCGAACGGUAACGGUCCUUCGGGAGCCGACGAGUGGCGGACGGGUGAGUAACGCGUAGGAAUCUGCCUGGUAGUGGGGGACAACUCGGAGAAAUCCGAGCUAAUACCGCAUACGCCCUACGGGGGAAAGCGGGGGAUCUUCGGACCUCGCGCUAUCAGAUGAGCCUGUGUUGGAUUAGCUAGUUGGUGGGGUAAAGGCCUACCAAGGCGACGAUCCAUAGCUGGUCUGAGAGGACGAUCAGCCACACUGGGACUGAGACACGGCCCAGACUCCUACGGGAGGCAGCAGUGGGGAAUAUUGGACAAUGGGCGCAAGCCUGAUCCAGCAAUACCGCGUGUGUGAAGAAGGCCUGAGGGUUGUAAAGCACUUUCAAUAGGGAGGAAAAAGCGUUGGUUAAGAGCUGAUGCCUUGACAUUACCUAUAGAAGAAGCACCGGCUAACUCCGUGCCAGCAGCCGCGGUAAUACGGAGGGUGCGAGCGUUAAUCGGAAUUACUGGGCGUAAAGCGUGCGUAGGUGGUUAAUUAAGUCAGAUGUGAAAGCCCCGGGCUUAACCUGGGAACGGCAUUUGAUACUGGUUAACUUGAGUUUAGGAGAGGAGAGUGGAAUUUCCGGUGUAGCGGUGAAAUGCGUAGAGAUCGGAAGGAACACCAGUGGCGAAGGCGGCUCUCUGGCCUAAAACUGACGCUGAGGUACGAAAGCGUGGGUAGCAAACAGGAUUAGAUACCCUGGUAGUCCACGCCGUAAACGAUGUCAACUAGCCGUUGGGUCUUUAUUAGGACUUAGUGGUGCAGCUAACGCAUUAAGUUGACCGCCUGGGGGAGUACGGCCGCAAGGUUAAAACUCAAUGAAUUGACGGGGGCCCGCACAAGC
rnacentral:rRNA from 1 species